rnacentral:rRNA from 1 species
GAUGAACGCUGGCGGCGUGCUUAAUACAUGCAAGUCGAACGGAAAGGUCCUGCUCUUGCGGGGUGCUCGAGAGGCGAACGGGUGAGUAACACGUGAGUAACCUGCCCCUGACUGUGGGAUAACUUCAGGAAACACGGGCUAAUAUCGCAUAGGAGCUCUUGCUGCAUGGGGGGGGUUGGUAAGUUUCGGCGGUUGGGGAUCGACUCGCGGCUUAUCAGCUUCUUGGGGGGGUAGUGGCUUACCAAGGUUAUGACGGGUAGCCGGCCUGGGAGGGUUGCCGGCCUCCUUGGGACUGAGGUACGGCCCAGACUCCUACCGGACGCAGCAGUGGGGAAUAUUGCAGAAUGGCCGGACGCCUGAUGCAGCAACGCUGCGUGCGGAAUGACGGCUUUCGGGUUGUAAACCGCUUUCGCAUGUGCCGAGGCGUGAGUGACGGUAAUGGGUCAGAAAGCACCGGCUAACUACGUG